UACGAAGGGGGCUAGCGUUGCUCGGAAUCACUGGGCGUAAAGGGUGCGUAGGCGGGUCUUUAAGUCAGGGGUGAAAUCCUGGAGCUCAACUCCAGAACUGCCUUUGAUACUGAAGAUCUUGAGUUCGGGAGAGGUGAGUGGAACUGCGAGUGUAGAGGUGAAAUUCGUAGAUAUUCGCAAGAACACCAGUGGCGAAGGCGGCUCACUGGCCCGAUACUGACGCUGAUGCACGAAAGCAUGGGGAGCGAACAGG
rnacentral:rRNA from 1 species